GACGAACGCUGGCGGCGUGCCUAAUACAUGCAGGUCGAGCGCAGGAAGCUGACGGAACUCUUCGGAGGGAAGGCAGUGGAAUGAGCGGCGGACGGGUGAGUAACACGUAAGGAACCUGCCUCAAGGAUUGGGAUAACUCCGAGAAAUCGGAGCUAAUACCGGAUAGUUCAACGGACCGCAUGGUCCGCUGAUGAAAGGCGCUCCGGCGUCACCUUGAGAUGGCCUUGCGGUGCAUUAGCUAGUUGGUGGGGUAACGGCCCACCAAGGCGACGAUGCAUAGCCGACCUGGGAGGGUGAUCGGCCACACUGGGACUGAGACACGGCCCAGACUCCUACGGGAGGCAGCAGUAGGGAAUCUUCCACAAUGGACGAAAGUCUGACGGAGCAACGCCGCGUGAGUGAUGAAGGUUUUCGGAUCGUAAAACUCUGUUGUAAGGGAAGAACACGUACGAGAGGAAAUGCUCGUACCUUGACGGUACCUUACGAGAAAGCCACGGCUAACUACGUGCCAGCCGCCGCCGUAACAC
rnacentral:rRNA from 1 species